AGCAGCCGCGGUAAUUCCAGCUCCAAUAGCGUAUAUUAAAGUUGUUGCAGUUAAAAAGCUCGUAGUUGAAUUUCGGGGUUAGUAGGUUGGUCAGGCCUCUGGUAUGYACUGGYCUCACUGAUUCCUCCUUCCUGAUGAGCCGUAAUGCCAUUAAUUUGGUGUUGCGGGGAAUUUGGACUGUUACUUUGAAAAAAUUAGAGUGUUUAAAGCAAGCUAACGCUUGAAUACAUUAGCAUGGAAUAAUGAAAUAGGACGUUCGAYCCUAUUUUGUUGGUUUCUAGGAUUGACGUAAUGAUUAAUAGGGAUAGUUGGGGGCAUUAGUAUUCAAUUGUCAGAGGUGAAAUUCUUGGAUUUAUUGAAGACUAACUACUGCGAAAGCAUUUGCCAAGGAUGUUUUCAUUAAUCAAGAACGAAAGUUAGGGGAUCGAAGACGAUCAGAUACCGUCGUAGUCUUAACCAUAAACUAUGCCGACUAGGGAUCGGA
rnacentral:rRNA from 1 species